rnacentral:misc_RNA from 1 species
CGUGGCUAUGGAAGGCAGUAUGACAGGGAUAACAAUCAUGAAGAGCGGGGAAGGAGACCUAGGAGCAGGAGUCCUGGGCGUAGGAGAGGUCGCAGUAGGAGCCCUGCUGGGAGAAGAAAUAGGAGUCCUGUCCGGGAGGGAAGUGCUGAAAGACGAGCCAAGAUUGAGCAGUGGAACCGGGAAAGAGAGCAGACCGAUACUGGCAACAAGAAUGAUGUUGGUAAUAGCGAGGACAAUGGAUAUCCUGAAAAUGGGGGGCGGCAUCGUGACCAGCCAGAACACGAGAAUGCAGAAGGAUAUGAUUACUGAAUGGUUUUCUGGUACACACCGAAUGAGCUAAUUUGUAGCAAAUGCGCAGGAUACCUCUUUCCAGGGUUGUACAUCUUGAGCUUUGUCAUCCAAGCAAGAAUGUGACCAGAAGGGUAAGGUUUGUUUAUAUGUACCUGACAUGCAGGAUUAUGGUAUUAUGAAACUAAGUGUGUGCUUAGGUACAGACUGUUUGGUG